UACCAGCACCCCCGAGUGGUCGGGACGAUUAUUGGGCCUAAAGCAUCCGUAGCCGGUACUGCAAGUCUUCCGUUAAAUCCACCUGCUUAACAGUUGGGCUGCGGGGGAUACCGCAGAGCUAGGAGGCGGGAGAGGCAAACGGUACUCAGUGGGUAGGGGUAAAAUCCAUUGAUCUACUGAAGACCACCAGUGGCGAAGGCGGUUUGCCAGAACGCGCUCGACGGUGAGGGAUGAAAGCUGGGGGAGCAAACCGGAUUAGAAACCCUAGUAGU
rnacentral:rRNA from 1 species